UACGAAGGGGGCUAGCGUUGUUCGGAAUUACUGGGCGUAAAGCGUGCGCAGGCGGCUUCUCAAGUCAGGGGUGAAAGCCCAGAGCUCAACUCUGGAAUUGCCUUUGAGACUGAGUGGCUUGAGUACGAGAGAGGUGAGUGGAAUUCCCAGUGUAGAGGUGAAAUUCGUAGAUAUUAUGGGGAACACCAAAAGCGAAGGCAGCAGACUGGAGCACUCCUGACACUGAAACAUGAAAGCGUGGGUCGCGAAUGGG
rnacentral:rRNA from 1 species